AUAGUUUCUCUCUCCUCACAACUCUAUAAUCUUCCAUUUUCUUUGAGGUUCCGACUUCUCUACCCAAAAUUAGGUAUAGUUUUCAAUAUCAAGCUGCAAUUGCACUCGAAUAUUUCCCCAAAUUGAAUUACUAAUGAUUCGUAGUAAUUUAUAAAUGCAAUUUUGGAGUUCGCCAAAGAUUUCAAGCAAAUUCGAUGGUGCUUAUGCGAUUCUCAUAUUCUACACCAUUCUGCAAAAUCGAUAUGGAAAUCAGGUUUCUGAGAGCAACUAUGUGGAUUUCUUCAACAACCAGAGAUUUGAAAGCUGCCGCUUGGCGAAUUAGCUAGCAAAACUUUUACCGAGGAAAGCGAGGAAGAAUUGCAUAUAAACCUCACAAACAGUCUGCUUAUCAUUCGCUCAAACAUCCUGCAGUUUGAUAUUUUCCUUUCUGUAAGGUUUUGUGUAAAGUUUUGUGCUUAUCGUCUGCAACUCUAUGGUCCUAGGAACUAGAAAGAAAUACGGGAAAUCGAUAUCAUCUAUGAUUUAAAUUGACUUUUCAGUUAGUUCCAUUUACUUUUGUGACUUAUUUAUCUACUUUU